rnacentral:rRNA from 1 species
UAACACGUGGGUAACCUGCCUCAUAGAGGGGAAUAGCCUUUCGAAAGGAAGAUUAAUACCGCAUAUGGUAGCUUUAUCGCAUGGUAAUGCUAUUAAAGGAGUAAUCCGCUAUGAGAUGGACCCGCGUCGCAUUAGCUAGUUGGUGAGGUAACGGCUCACCAAGGCGACGAUGCGUAGCCGACCUGAGAGGGUGAUCGGCCACAUUGGGACUGAGACACGGCCCAGACUCCUACGGGAGGCAGCAGUGGGGAAUAUUGCACAAUGGGGGAAACCCUGAUGCAGCAACGCCGCGUGAGUGAUGACGGCCUUCGGGUUGUAAAACUCUGUCUUUGGGGACGAUAAUGACGGUACCCAAGGAGGAAGCCACGGCUAACUACGUGCCAGCAGCCGCGGUAAUACGUAGGUGGCAAGCGUUGUCCGGAUUUACUGGGCGUAAAGGGAGCGUAGGUGGAUAUUUAAGUGGGAUGUGAAAUACUCGGGCUUAACCUGGGUGCUGCAUUCCAAACUGGAUAUCUAGAGUGCAGGAGAGGAAAGGAGAAUUCCUAGUGUAGCGGUGAAAUGCGUAGAGAUUAGGAAGAAUACCAGUGGCGAAGGCGCCUU